rnacentral:lncRNA from 1 species
AAGUAGAAAAUCUUCAAAACCCUAGCACUUCUCUCUGUCUCCAAUAUUGCAUAAAAUAAAGCGUAGUCGAAAAUUGUAGACGGCUAAGCAAUAUAUUUGCUAAGCCACCACACAAACCCUAGCAAAACUAAAAUUAAUAAAAACCCUAAAGAAAAAUAGUAAAAUUCGUCUAAAAUCUGAACAGCCACGUUUUGGCCCAUAAGCUACUCCAAAACUGGCCCAAUAUAGCUGGAUUUGAUGUUUGGAAUAUUCUGAACACUUUUCCAGAAGGCCAUGAACCCAUCCGAGGUCAUCUUGGGCUCCAAAAACGCAAUUUAAGCCCAAAAACGUCAUUUUCCAGCACUGCGCACUGCUUCUUUAUUUCAUCUUCAGAAAAUAACCGCUUAGUAGAAAAAUCCCAAAUUUUGAUACGAUCAAGCUAAGUGACUCACGAAUGUCCUCCAACUGGAAUUACUCCAAAAUUCGUCCAUUUGGUCCUGUUUUGCUCCAGAGGAAGUCGAAAGUCCUAUAUUGAAAAUACAAUUCAAAGUAUCAAAAUUCUUCCAAUAUAUUAACCAAAAUACACUAAGAUUAGGGUAAAAUAUAUAAUAUAAAAUCUACUCAUCAACUAUUAAAGAGAGUUAUAAACAUGGAUGAAAAUUUGAUUUACUCUUUGGUGUAUGCUUGGUUGUGGUUAUAAUUUAUGAAUUCACAUGCAAUCAUAAAAGGAAAAAUCAGUUUUUGUAA